AUUGAACGCUGGCGGCAGGCUUAACACAUGCAAGUCGAGCGAGCGGCGGACGGGUGAGUAAUGUCUGGGAAUCUGCCUGAUGGAGGGGGAUAACUACUGGAAACGGUAGCUAAUAACGCAUACCAUCAGAUGUGCCCAGAUGGGAUUAGGUAGUUGGUGAGGUAAAGGCUAACCAAGCCGACGAUCUCUAGCUGGUCUGAGAGGAUGACCAGCCACACUGGAACUGAGACACGGCCCAGAGUCCUACGGGAGGCAGCAGUGGGGAAUAUUGCGCAAUGGGGGCAAGCCUGACGCAGCCAUGCCGCGUGAGUGAAGAAGGCCUUCGGGUUGUAAAGUACUUUCGGUAGCGAGGCGUUAACUACAGAAGAAGCACCGGCUAACUCCGUGCCAGCAGCCGCGGUAAUUC
rnacentral:rRNA from 1 species